CAAAAAAACCAAAAAAAAA
rnacentral:sRNA from 1 species